rnacentral:rRNA from 1 species
UACAGAGGGGGCAAGCGUUAUUCGGAAUUAUUGGGCGUAAAGGGCGCGUAGGCGGCUUUGCAAGUGACGGGUGAAAUCCCUCGGCUUAACCGAGGAACUGCCUGUCAAACUGCAUGGCUUGAGACCGGGAGAGGUGAGUGGAAUUCCCAGUGUAGCGGUGAAAUGCGUAGAUAUUAGGAAGAACACCGGUGGCGAAGGCGGCCCACUGGAUCGGUACUGACGCUGAGGUGCGAAAGCGUGGGGAGCAAACAGG